rnacentral:lncRNA from 1 species
ACACUCGUCCGUGCAGCUGGCAGGCCAAGAACCGCUCACUCCAGCUCUGCCUCGUAGAGCAGAAGCAGCUUUGCCAGGACCUCCUCCCCCACCCCAGGAGCUGUUCCUCUUGCCCUCCAUGGAGAUCCCAAAUAAGGCAGCCCAAAGCCAAGCUAGAGGAAGAUAAAGGAGGAGCUCAAAGAAGGGGCUCGUUCCAGCUGCGUGGUGCUGUGUGUUUUUAAAGGAGAGAAAACAGAAUUAGAAGAAUGCCUUUUCUCUUUCAGAGACAACCACAAGCAAAAUUACCCAGGCUUUCCCACCUUCAGACGAUUUUUUUUUCCCCCUAACAGGACUUAGAACAUAGGGAAGAAGGUUCAAGCUUUGCUUGACAUCCAGUCACUCUCCCCACUUUCCGCUUGAUGGAGCAGGUCUACACCCGCUGUGGCUUCUCAACAUCAGGGGAACUGACUCAACACCCGAUGCGUGCACGUGUUUUUCACAAGGGAAGCUGGGAGGUACAAUCUCUGUACAAGAUAAUCUCUGGCAUCGUCACACUUGAGAAGCUGAAGAAGCUGUGAAGUCACCAUCACCCAUUCCAAAAUCCUAAGCCUAAGAGAAGCCAAUGACGAAAUUCUUGUGACAUCGCAAAACAGAUCAAUGGUGGUGAAAAUGCGUGACAUAUACAGGUGCCAUGGGACCUACCUCAUUGAUAAGUGUACUGUGAAUUGUGUUCAGCUCAAGGCUUCCUCCCACAGUGGAAGCACCUCCUCUUCUCAGAGGCUCCAUGACCCCAUCCCAUUCAUAAACCAGAGCCUGAGCUUAUGAAUGAAUCACACACAGAGCUGAGAAGUCUCACAGAGAGGACUCCUGACCCUCUGCCCUCACUCCAUCCCCCCUACAAUCUAAUUCAUCAAAUCUGGUUACUGGUUUCAAGUCUAACUUUAAGUUAAUUUUGGAUAUACUACUUCUCACUCCAAAGUAGAAAAGAGCUGGAGUGCUUCCUAGUUAGAGGAAAUAAUCAUGGAAGUGUUUCUUAGAGUUAAUCAAAGGUACUCUUCUUUCCUAUAUUAAAAUACGCAAAAUUAAAUUA